ACGUUGUUAAUUCGAAGCCAACUUCACUUUGUUUUCUCUUUGCUUUACAAUGAAAAUUCACAGUUUAGUCACUCGCUGCCACUAAAGGGCUUCCGCAAUAUAAUGCAGUUUUACAAGUCAAUAAUCUUCAGAAUAAUCAACAAUAAUAUUCAAGUACAAAAUUAAAUAAGUGCUACAAGAAUAGGCUAUGAAAAAUGGGUCAAAAAGUAUCAACUUCUAAAGAUCCUAGUAAUAUCACUCUUACGAAAAAUGAUUCACAAGAAUUGAAAACAAAAUCACAAAAGUCAUCCCGCUCAAUCGAUAGAAAAUCCAUACCUAACUCACCGAAAGAUCACAAAAGCAGUUUCGCUGACGCGGAGCAGAAGCAGCGACUGGAAUCGGGCGACGCGCCUCUACUGCCUGCUCAAAAAGAAGCCAACAGCGACGACAAUACAGCCGAUGGGGCGCUUCACGAACGAUUCGAUGACGAGGAAAAAAACGCCGACGAGGACAGAGCUCGAUGCCAGUCCUCGUCGAAAGCCAGCUCAAGCGAUGCACUGGCGGCGUUUGCCACUAUGAAUCCGAACAUCGCCGAGCUCAGCCAGCUUACCGCCUUCAGAAUGAUGCAGAAUUUCGAGGACUUUCAUGCGAGGAUCGACGAUAUGUUGCGAAAUCAAGUUAACGAAAUAAGCGAAAAAGUAAUGGACGAUAAUUUAAGCGAAAAGGACUUUCGUACAAUUAGUUACGAGAGCUUGCCCACCGUGCAGCUUGUGGAAAAUGUUGGAACUUUGAAACGUGAUUCUUCAACGUACACCAACGAUACCAAGGAAUUCGCAUUAAGCGAGCGCGAAAGUGUCAGCUUUAAUGAAGAGAAACUAUCAUGUAAGGAAGAAGAAGUAGAAGAAGAAGGAAUAGGAAGCGGAAGCCCGGAGGCAGAGACUACUACGUCCGACGACGAGGAAGAAGCCACCACCAUCAAAGGCGAGGAUGAUGACGAGCUGUUGCGAUUGAGGGAGAGACUAGAUCUACUGGAGCAGGAGAGAGACGACGCCAGGAUGAGACUUAGGAUCGUCGAGGACAGAUGCCAGACGUACGAGGACGAGUCUAGAUGCCUCGAGGCCAGUCUCGGCAGUCUCGAGGAGAAGCUCAGAGCUAACUCCAAAUCGCACAGAAUAAUGCGAACAAAGCGAGCGAGAGAAGAGCCAGACAGAAGACAACGCCUCACCUGUUUAUCUCGUUACGGCCAUUACGGCCAAAUCCCCGGGCAUUUUCCCGGGAAAACGACGAGCGCGAGCAGUAGAUCAUAGCAGCGGCAGCAGUGCCUCGUGCGCGUAAUUUCCCUUUGGGCAACGGCUACUACACUAAACCGCCGCCGCAGCAGCAGCAGCUUCGCUCCGACGCGUUUUUACGCGCAAAAAGGCUACUGCUGUGCUGUGGGAUACGAUGAUGAUGGCUGUUUCGCAGUGGUGCAGUAGUAGGGGCUUUAUGAUGGAGCUGAUGCCUUUUUCUUCCGAGCACUUGGCUUUUUUUAAGGGCUCAGGAAUAUCGCCCUUUAACGCCGACUCGUCAGCGCUGAUGAAAGGACUAAUUAAAUAGAGAUUUCCUAUAUUGUUUUUCACAAAUGUAACGAGCUCGAUCAAUAAUCUAAAACUCCCAUCGCGUGUAUAAUAUCGCAAUACUAUGCACGUCGAUGUAAUUGCGCUACGGCUGAAAAAUA